UACGGGGGGGGUAAGCGUUGUUCGGAAUUACUGGGCGUAAAGGGCUCGUAGGCGGCCAACUAAGUCGGACGUGAAAUCCCUCAGCUUAACUGGGGAACUGCGUCCGAUACUGGAUGGCUUGGAUUUGGGAGAGGGAUGCGGAAUUCCAGGUGUAGCGGUGAAAUGCGUAGAUAUCAGGAGGAACACCGGUGGCGAAGGCGGGUCUCUGGGCAACAACUGACGCUGAGGAGCGAAAGCGUGGGGAGCGAACAGG
rnacentral:rRNA from 1 species